rfam:Oryza glumipatula chromosome 1, whole genome shotgun sequence.
CAGAAGAUUGGGAGUCCGGCUCUAAUCCUGACACUACCAAUUUUCCGCAAAAUUUUUUAAUGAUUAGUACAUUUAUUAUUAUUAGAUGAUAAAACAUAAAUAAUAUUUUAUGAGUGACUAACUUUUUUUAAUUUUUUCAUAAAUUUUUCAAAUAAGACGGAUGGUCAAACGUUGGAUAUGAAUUUUCAUGGCUGCACUUAUU